rnacentral:rRNA from 1 species
AUUGAACGCUGGCGGCAGGCCUAACACAUGCAAGUCGAACGGUAACAGGAAGAAGCUUGCUUCUUUGCUGACGAGUGGCGGACGGGUGAGUCAUGUCUGGGAAACUGCCUGAUGGAGGGGGAUAACUACUGGAAACGGUAGCUAAUACCGCAUAACGUCGCAAGACCAAAGAGGGGGACCUUCGGGCCUCUUGCCAUCGGAUGUGCCCAGAUGGGAUUAGCUAGUAGGUGGGGUAACGGCUCACCUAGGCGACGAUCCCUAGCUGGUCUGAGAGGAUGACCAGCCACACUGGAACUGAGACACGGUCCAGACUCCUACGGGAGGCAGCAGUGGGGAAUAUUGCGCAAUGGGCGCAAGCCUGAUGCAGCCAUGCCGCGUGUAUGAAGAAGGCCUUCGGGUUGUAAAGUACUUUCAGCGGGGAGGAAGGGAGUAAAGUUAAUACCUUGGCGCAUUGACGUUACCCGCAGAAGAAGCACCGGCUAACUCCGUG